rnacentral:rRNA from 1 species
CCUACGGGAGGCAGCAGUGGGGAAUAUUGCACAAUGGGGGAAACCCUGAUGCAGCGAUGCCGCGUGAGUGAAGAAGUAUUUCGGUACGUAAAGCUCUAUCAGCAGGGAGGAAAAUGACGGUACCUGUCUCCGAAGCCCCGGCCAACUCCGUGCCAGCAGCCGCGGUAAUACGGAGGGGGCAAGCGUUAUCCGGAUUUACUGGGGGUAAAGGGCGCGUAGGCGGCCGCGCAAGUCUGAAGUGAAAUCCCCUGGCUUAACCAUGGAACUGCUUUGGAAACUGUGCAGCUGGAGUGCAGGAGAGGGAGGCGGAAUUCCUGGUGUAGCGGUGAAAUGCGUAGAGAUUAGGAGGAACACCAGUGGCGAAGGCGGCUUACUGGACUAUAACUGACGUUGAGGCUCGAAAGCGUGGGGAGCAAACAGGAUUAGAUACCCUUGUAGUC